rnacentral:rRNA from 1 species
AUUGAACGCUGGCGGCAGGCUUAACACAUGCAAGUCGAGCGGAGAUGAGGUGCUUGCACCUUAUCUUAGCGGCGGACGGGUGAGUAAUGCUUAGGAAUCUGCCUAUUAGUGGGGGACAACAUUCCGAAAGGAAUGCUAAUACCGCAUACGUCCUCAGGGAGAAAGCAGGGGAUCUUCGGACCUUGCGCUAAUAGAUGAGCCUAAGUCGGAUUAGCUAGUUGGGGGGGUAAAGGCCUACCAAGGCGACGAUCUGUAGCGGGUCUGAGAGGAUGAUCCGCCACACUGGGACUGAGACACGGCCCAGACUCCUACGGGAGGCAGCAGUGGGGAAUAUUGGACAAUGGGGGGAACCCUGAUCCAGCCAUGCCGCGUGUGUGAAGAAGGCCUUAUGGUUGUAAAGCACUUUAAGCGAGGAGGAGGCUACUGAGACUAAUACUCUUGGAUAGUGGACGUUACUCGCAGAAUAAGCACCGGCCAACUCUGUGCCAGCCGCCGCCGUAA